AGCUCCGGCUAACUACGUGCCAGCAGCCGCGGUAAUACGUAGGGAGCGAGCGUUGUCCGGAAUUACUGGGCGUAAAGGGCGCGUAGGCGGCGCUUCAAGUCGUCUGUCAAAAGCCGAGGCUCAACCUCGGCGCGCAGACGAAACUGGAGAGCUUGAGAAGCAGAGAGGCAAACAGAAUUCCUGGUGUAGCGGUGAAAUGCGUAGAUAUCAGGAAGAAUACCAGUGGCGAAGGCGGUUUGCUGGCUGCAUACUGACGCUGAAGCGCGAAAGCCAGGGGAGCAAACGGGAUUAGAUACCCCGGUAGUCCUGGCAGUAAACGAUGUAUGCUGGGUGUGGGACUAGCGAUAGUUCCGUGCCGAAGUUAACGCGAUAAGCAUACCGCCUGGGGAGUACGGUCGCAAGAUUGAAACUCAAAGGAAUUGACGGGGGCCCGCACAAGCGGUGGAGCACGUGGUUUAAUUCGAUGCAAACCGAAGAACCUUACCUGGACUUGACAUCCACGCGGUAGAGAAGCGAAAGCGGAUCGACCCUUUCGCAAGGAAGGGAACGUGAACAGGUGCUGCAUGGCUGUCGUCAGCUCGUGUCGUGAGAUGUUGGGUUAAGUCCCGCAACGAGCGCAACCCCUAUUGCCGGUUGCUACCAGAUAAAGCUGAGCACUCCGGCGAGACUGCCAUCGACAAGAUGGAGGAAGGUGGGGACGACGUCAAGUCAUCAUGGCCCAUAUGUCCAGGGCGACACACAUGCUACAAUGGAUGGUACAGAGAGAAGCGAGCCCGAAAGGAGAAGCAGAUCCCAAAAAGCCAUCCCCAGUUCGGAUUGCAGUCUGCAACUCGACUGCAUGAAGUUGGAAUCGCUAGUAAUCGCGGAUCAGCCAAGCCGCGGUGAAUACGUUCCCGGGCCUUGUACACACCGCCCGUCACACCAUCCGAGUCGGGUGCUCUCAAAGCCGGAGGCCUAACCGCGAGGAAGGAUCCGCCUAAAGAGUGUCCGGUGAGGAGGGUGAAGUCGUAACAAGGUAGCCGUACGGGAACGUGCGGCUG
rnacentral:rRNA from 1 species